AUGCUGCACAGAAAGCCGAAUUUUGAG
rnacentral:piRNA from 1 species